AGCGAACGCUGGCGGCAGGCUUAACACAUGCAAGUCGAGCGGCCGUAGCAAUACGGCAGCGGCAGACGGGAGAGUAACACGUGGGAACGUGCCUAUCAGUUCGGAACAACCCAGGGAAACUUGGGCUAAUACCGGAUACGCCCUUACGGGGAAAGAUUUAUCGCUGAUAGAGCGGCCCGCGUCUGAUUAGCUUGUUGGUGAGGUAACGGCUCACCAAGGCGACGAUCAGUAGCUGGUCUGAGAGGAUGAUCAGCCUCACUGGGACUGAGACACGGCCCAGACUCCUACGGGAGGCAGCAGUGGGGAAUAUUGGACAAUGGGCGCAAGCCUGAUCCAGCCAUGCCGCGUGAAUGAUGAAGGCCCUAGGGUUGUAAAGUCCUUUCGGCGGGGAAGAUAAUGACGGUACCCGCAGAAGAAGCCCCGGCUAACUUCGUGCCAGCCGCCGCGGUAAU
rnacentral:rRNA from 1 species